CCUACGGGUGGCAGCAGUGAGGAAUAUUGGUCAAUGGGCGUAAGCCUGAACCAGCCAAGUCGCGUGAGGGAUGAAGGUUCUAUGGAUCGUAAACCUCUUUUAUAAGGGAAUAAAGUGCGGGACGUGUCCCGUUUUGUAUGUACCUUAUGAAUAAGGAUCGGCUAACUCCGUGCCAGCAGCCGCGGUAAUGCGGAGGAUCCGAGCGUUAUCCGGUUUUAUUGGGUUUAAAGGGUCCGUAGGCGGCCUUUUAAGUCAGGGGUGAAAGUCCGUGGCUCAACCAUGGAAUUGCCGUUGAAACUGGGUGGCUUGAGUAGGUGUGAGGCAGGCGGAAUGCGUGGUGUAGCGGUGAAAUGCGUAGAUAUCACGCAGAACCCCGAUUGCGAAGGCAGCCUGCCAAGCCAUGACUGACGCUGAGGCACGAAAGCGUGGGGAUCAAACAGGAUUAGAUACCCUGGUAGUC
rnacentral:rRNA from 1 species